CCUACGGGAGGCAGCAGUGGGGAAUCUUGCGCAAUGGGGGAAACCCUGACGCAGCGACGCCGCGUGGAGGAAGAAGGCCUUCGGGUUGUAAAGUCCUGUCAGGAAAGAAGAAAAAUAUUAUCUUGAAUAAAGAUAAUAUUUGACAGUAUUUCCAAAGGAAGCUCCGGCUAACUCCGUGCCAGCAGCCGCGGUAAAACGGAGGGAGCAAUAGUUAUUCGGAUUCACUGGGCUUAAAGAGCACGUAGGUGGCUAAGUAGGUCAUAUGUAAAAAACUUUUGCUCAACAAAAGGAAUGCAUAGGAAACCGCUUAGCUUGAGUUCAGGGGAGGUAGGUGAAAUUCCCGGUGGAGCGGUAAAAUGCGUAGAUAUCGGGAAGACCACCUGCGGCGAAGGCGACCUACUAAACUGAUACUGACACUGAGGUGCGAAAGCUAGGGGAGCAAACAGGAUUAGAUACCCUUGUAGU
rnacentral:rRNA from 1 species